UAAAAUAGCGUUAAUGCCAAUAAAGCUAAACUUUGAAAAUAUAAAUUGUACAUGCUUUGUCCAACCCAGGUCUUAUCAAUCCAAUGACCAAAUUUAAUGGACUUUAUGGGGAAUAAAAAAACUUAAAUCAACAUAUGCAUUGCAACAGAUCCUUCCUUCCACCUUAAACACACACCCUGAACUUUUAAGCUAAAAAAAAAUAAGAAAGCAAAAAGAAGAAAGAAGGCGAUGAACCCCACUCUUCGAUGUUCACCCUUACGUAGCCUUCGAUUCACAAAAAUUUAACUACCUAAUUCCCAAAACAACAUCGAACGCCAACCUAUCCUGUUUCUAAAUCCCGAUCUGAUUCCUCCGCACCCUAUUCUCUCCAUAACGGAUGUGAGGUUCAGGUAACCAAGGUAUAAAAGCUUCUAAUGCCACUUUUUAUAUCCACCACCAAUAACCAAGAAAUUGACAAAUCAAAAUAGAAGCAACAAAUCUAUGCAAAUGCUAUGACGUUUGAAACAAACAGAGAAGAUGAUUCGCACAACUAUUGACGCAUAUCCAUUGGCCACGAGUAUACCUGGUCCAACCCUUCCCAAGUUGUGGUAGCAUCCUAAACUUUUCGAAAUAUCCUGCUUAGUGUCAUCCUAUCAUGGUCUCAAAUACAGAACACUGUCCGUGAUCGUUACGCCGCAGGUUCCUGUUUUGCAGCCGGCGCAACUUGCUGUGUUCAUCCUUCGUCUUCAUCAGGCCACUUUUGUUGGUUAUGCGUAUGCUAGUACUUUCACUUGGCCGGAUAAUCCCGUCAACUUGUCCACUUUUUAAUCCAUGAUGCUUUUGCAAUAUGAUCCGUCAUCCAGAUUCUAGGAAGCUGCGUUUUUGGACAAUGUACUUUUUGAGCAAAAUCUUCUUCUCAACAUCGGUUAGCGUAUGAUAUGGCGAUACCAGCUAGUGCGUCGUGAUGUUUACCGAAAGUCUACUUUCCUCUGGCAGCCUCAACACUGAGAACAGAGACUUUUAUCAGGAGGAUUGUAGUUCGAGUAUAGGUUAAUGGUGGCUUUUGGAAAGUGAAAUGAACAUUUGGCCUUGACUAGGUGUAUGAUAAUUUUGACCCUGGCUCGAACUAAUCAUAUGAACAUGGCUACUGCCCCAAGCUAUAAUCUUGAAUGGACCACCAAUCCCGUGACUUUGUACCAACGAUAAUCCUAAACAAGCAGUGAAUCAAGGACACACGAUGCCUUAAAUAAAUCCUCAUCAAAGAAACAAAACUAUGGACCUAUCAGGCUUAUGAACCAACCUUAACAAGCCAGAUGGGUUAAAUGAAUCUUUGAUCUUUUAGUACGUACUUCAUAGAAAAUGCAACCAAUCAGAAACAAAAGUCUAGAUCAAAACUAAGAGUUAUGACUAAAUGAAUGUUGAGUGAACUCUUGAUCAAGCAGGCGAAACCAAUAGCCAGGAGCAAUGGAGAGUCAGGUAAGGCCCCCCUUGGAUCAUGGCUUUGCUUCACAAGCUAAGGUAGUAACAAAGAAAACUCCUGAUAAGACCCACAAAUUCUGACUCUGUACAUCGUGCCCUCAUGUUAUGGAUACUAACGAAAGUUUUUUUUUGAAAAUUUCCCGGAAAAAAAUGGGGUAUGACAAUUAUUUGUACACUUGAAAGUCAAUCUAGAUGUAAAUGGAAAAUGUGUUCCUUGAGGAGUAAUAAUCACUGCCCCAAUGCCAUUACGAUACUAAUUAACAGCUCCAUCAAAUACCAUGCCCCAAUGGGAACCCGGUUCUGUCCCUUCUUCAAGCAAUGGUUCGUCACAAUCUUUUAUUUUCAGUUACAAAAUCUCUUCAUCAGGAAAGUCAUACUGCACUGACUGGUGAUCUUCAAUGGGUUGGCGAGCUAAAUGGUCAGCCAAGACACUACCUUUAAUCGCUUUUUGAGAUCGGUAUUCAAUAUCAUACUCUGAUAACAACAUCUACCAAUGGGCAAUCCUCCCAGUUAAAGCAGGCUUCUCAAAAAUGUACUUGAUUGGAUCCGUUUUGGAUAUCAACCAAGUAGUAUGAUCCAACACAUACUGACGCAGACGCAUAGCAGCCCAAGCCAAUGCACAACAAGUCUUCUCAAGCAUAGAAUACCGAGUCUCAAAGUUGGUGAAUUUCUUACUGAGGUAGUAAAUAACAUAUUCUUUCUUUCCAAUUUCAUCUUGCUGACCAAGAACACAACCCAUACGUUCAUCAAGCACGGUCAAGUACAUGAUCAACGACCUUUCUCCAAUAGGCGGAGACAAAUUUGGAGGCUCAAGCAGAUACUCUUUGAUACUGUCAAAAGCUUUCUGGAAAUCCUCGGUCCAAUCACAAGACUGAUCUUUCCGAAGAAGCUUGAAUAAAGGUGCACAUGUGGCAGUCAUAUGCGAAAUGAAUCUUGAGAUGUAGUUCAAGCGGCUGAGAAAACCUCUGACUUGCUUCUCAGUUUUGGGCGCAAGCAUCUCUUGUAUUACUUUGACCUUAGCAGGACCAACUUCAAUACCCUUUUCACUGACAAUAAAGCCCAACAACUUACUAGAAUGAACACCAAAUGUACACUUAUUGGGAUUCAAGCGGAUCUUAUACUUCCUCAAACGAUGGAAUAACUUCAAUAAAUGCUCGACAUGUUCUUCUUCGUUACUUGAUUUGGCAAUCAUAUCAUCAACAUAAACUUUGAUUUCUUUAUGCAUCAUAUCAUGAAAAAGAGUGGUCAUUGCUCUCUGGUAUGUUGCACUAGCAUUCUUUAAACCGAAAGGCAUCACUCUAUAACAGAAUGUUCCCCAGGGUGUAAUGAAUGUGGUUUUCUCCAUAUCUUCAGGUGCCAUCUUAAUCUGGUUAUAACCAGAAAAUCCGUCCAUAAACGAAAAAACUUUGAAUUUAGUUGUAUUCUCUACCAACAUAUCAAUGUGUGGCAGAGGAAAAUCAUCUUUUAGACUAGCUUUGUUCAAAUCUCUAUAAUCAACACACAUACGGACUUUUCCAUCCUUCUUUGGAACAGGCACAAUGUUGGCCACCCACUGCGGAUACUCAGCGGUAACAAGGAAACCAACGUUAAUUUGCUUUUGCACUUCUUCUUUGAUCUUUACUGCCAUAUCAGGAUGAGUCCUCCUCAACUUCUGCUUGACUGGCGGGCAUUCUGGCUUCAACGACAAUCUAUGCUCCACAAUCUCAGAAUCCAAACCAGACAUGUCUUGAUAAGACCAAGCAAACACAUCUGAAUACUCUCGAAGAAGAUCAAUCAACCCCUUCUUAGCCUCUGGACACAGUUGAGACCCAAUCUUGACUUCCUUCACAUCAUCUUCGGAACCCAAGUUGACUAACUCAAUCUGCUCUUCGAAUGACUGAAUGACUUUUUCCUCGUGCUCAAGUAGGCGAGACAAUUCAUCAACAACUCUUCAUCACUUUCUUCCUCAGCCUCAAACACAGGGAAUUCAAAGUUUGGAGAAGGAGUAGGAUCAUUGUAUUCAAUGGGUUUAGACACCAACCUGCAUAAUGAUUUGAUAUUUUGAUUUUAGAGAAGUGAGUUGUGACCAAAUAUUAUGCAGAUGGACAAUUUUUAUUUAUUUAUGUUUUUUGUGAUUACCAUUUUCAGAAAAGCAAAAAGUAAAAACAAAAGAUCAUAGAUGUGGAUGAAAAGAAUUGUAUUUUAUUGAUGAUCAAUUUGAAAUAUGCCCACCAAUGUUCACUUCUCCCUUAGGCAUAGGAGAAGGAUUUUCAAAAAAUUAUAAAAGCAAUUACUUAGAGCGAUGAACAAUAACAAGAACAUCGACAUCAAUCCAAUUGUUGCAAGCUUUUCCAUGCGUCACAAAAUUGGUGCAAUCUUCAUCUUCGUCAUCCUCGAUCACUGCAUCUGAGUCUUGUUCAUUACCAUGAAUGAACCCUCUCUUACGGAAACUAGGUUGCACAUCUUCAACUUUGAUCAUAGACGACCCUUGCUGGAAACCUAAACCAGCCCGAUUCUUAUUCUUGGCGACCUCUACCAUCCGGCCCCACUGAUCAGAACUACCAUCUUCAAAAAUCUUCUGAGCGUCUUUAAAAGAGGACAUAAGUGUCCCAACUUUCUUCUUUUCAGCAAUAGAUAGAGCUUUGGAACAGAGUUCCAAUCUCAUCCUCAACUUCCACAUAUGAGAAAGACGACAAAUGACUCAUUAAUAGUGCUUUCUCUCCACCCACAAUGACGAGCUUACCAUUCUUCACAAAUUUCAAUUUCUAAUGCAGAGUGGAUGUCACAGCUCCCGCCUCAUGUAUCCAUGGCCUUCCUAACAAGCAACGAUAGGCCAAGUGGAUAUCCAUUACUUGGAAAGUAAUUUGGAAAUCACUCGGACCUAUCUUCAUCGGAAGGUCCACCUCACCAAUAACAGUCUUGCGAGACCCAUCAAAAGCUUUGACGAUCACGCCACUGUAUCUCAUCGGAGCUCCUUGAUAUGAUAAUCUGGACAAAGUUGACUUGGGGAGUACAUUAAAUGAAGAACCGGUAUCAACCAACACAUUUGACAAUGCAUCCUCCUUACAAUUCAUCGAUAUAUGUAGCGCUAGGUUAUGAUUUCUGCCUUCCUCGGGAAGUUCUUCAUCACAAAAGCUCAGGUUGUUGCAGGAAGUGAUGUUAGCCACAAUAUGAUCGAAUUGUUCCACAGUUACAUCAUGCUCUACAUAAGCUUGCUCCAAUACUCUUUGCAAUGCUUCUCUGUGUGCUUCAGAAUUCAUGAGCAGAGACAACACUAAAAUUUUGGAACGAGUUUGGAGCAACUGCUCCACCACAUUAAAUUCACUUUUGUUUAUCAAUCUUAGUACCUCAUCAUUAUCACUAGGCUUCAAAUUGUUGGACUCACCAGACUGACACUUUUGAGCAUUAACUCGAUUUGCUACAGGUACCUCAACCUUCUUACCAACAUCUUCUACAUCUUUUGGGAAAACGGGACCAAAAACACGACCACUACGGGUCACCUUUGUAACAUCAACAAUGUUCACAACGGAAUUAGUCGUAGGCAACGGAAUCUCUUGACCAUUUUCUAACAUAGUAGCGUUAUAUUGAUGUGGAACAACUUUAUCGGACACAUAUGGGACUGGGCCCGCCAAUCGUAUUACUAACGGAGAUACCGAUGUUGAUGCUGUUGCUGUUGCUAUUAUCAAAUUGGAUCACCACUCGCUCAAGGGUCUUAAACACUAGCACUAUCACGUUCACAUCAUCUAUAUCCCUUGACUGUUGAAUCUCGAUUACAUUCUCAUCCAUCAACUUCUGGAUAUCUCUCUUGACAACUGAACACCCACGGGGGUUUAUACUGCAAAUCGCACAACCGGCAUGGUCAUGCUCACAAUCACUAAUGGUACACAGGGUUUUAUGCAUUUCUACCAAGGACCGACGAAUACGUCGCACAUCAAAGACUCAGAAACUUCCCGGACAUCCAUCUACCAUAUUAACAGAGGAAUUACCAUGAGAAGGCAAUGUGUUAGCUUUCACGUUUGGCGCACGGUCCUCAAAGGACACCAUCCCACUUUUCACUAACUUCUGGACCUCGUACUUCAACGGAUAUCAAUUUUCAAUAUCGUGGUCGGGAACUCCUUGACGAAAGGCACAACGGAGUUCUGGCUUUUACCACCAUGGAAGUGGUUCUGGAAUUUGCAGCGGAUUUCUUGGUUGGAGAAGGUUCUUGAGAACCAAGAACGAGUAUAAUUCAGAAUAGGUCAUAGGAAUAGGGUCGAAAGCGACAUUCUUCCUCUCGAAAUUUUGUUGUUGUUGUUGAUUAUUGUUGGAGUUGUUGUUGUAGUUGUUUAUUCUUUGUUGCGACUAUUGUUGAUGUUAGUGUUGAACUGGCAUGGAUUAAUUAUUUAAAAACACUGGAAUAACGAAUGAUACUUGAUGAUGAUGUUGACGUGGUUGCUGACUUCUUCUAACAUGAGGCCUCCUCUGCCUCCCCACUAAUACUGCAUUAGUUUCGCCUUCCUUCUUCCUAGCGAAACUGCUCCCAUAUUUCUUGAUUGAUAAUACCUCUUCCUUAGACAAACGUCCUUCUCGGACACCCUCUUCUAACCUCAUCCCCAUGUUUACCAUUUCAGUAAAGUCACCGAGGACACUAGCAAUCAUACGUUCGUAAUAAAAUGAACUUAGGGCCUUAAGGAAGAUCUUGGUAAUCUCUUUCUCUUCCAACGGAGGAUUGAUCUGAGAAGCAAGCUCUCUCCACCUCUGGGCGUAUUCUUUGAAUGUCUCCUUGUCCUUCUGAGACAUCGACCUCAAUUGGUCUCUAUCUGGCUCCAUGUCCAUGUUGUACUUGUACUGUUUCACAAAAGCUUCACCCAAGUCAUUGAACGUGCAAACACUUGCACUAUCCAAUCCCAUGUACCACCUCAGAGCAACACUAGUCAGACUGUCUUGUAAAUAGUGAAUCAAUAACUGAUCAUUAUCAGUUUGUGUUAACAUUUUCCUGGCAUACAUGACGAGAUGGCUAAGUGGACAUGUAUUUCCCUUAUACUUUUCAAAAUCAGGGACUUUGAACUUCAUUGAGAUUUUGACAUUGGGAACCAAGCAAAGUUCAACAACACUUUUACCAAACAAAUAUUUUCCCCUCAAGGUCUUCAAUGCCUUUCGUAACUCAAGGAAUUGGUCUUUCAUCUCAUCCAUCUUCUCAUAAACAUCAGGGCUCUCAGACGGCUCAGAAUGGUAGAUGGUGUCCUUAACACGAGGCAGAGUGUGAACAACUAGAGGCGGAACUUACAUAACCGGGCUAGAUGCCGACAUGGAAGCAAAAGUAGGAGCAAAUUGAGUAGCAUGCACGAUUGAAGUAACAACCUCUGAAAUAACAGACCUCUGAGGAGGAUGUCGCAUCUCGAAAAAUACGAUUCCUCGCGAUGGUCGCGGAAAAAUUAUGUUCGAACAGAGUCGCCACCGAACUUUAUUUACUCCAAUGAAGGAAUAGGAAAAUAUCGAUAAAACCUUUGAAAAAUAGAAUAAUGGUCGUCGCAACCAUAUUCGGGUUCGGGAGUCGAUUACGCAAGGGGAAGGUAUUAGCACCCCUCACGUCCGUUGUACUCAACGGGAACCUUUUAGUCUAAUUUGCUAUUUGAAUGUUAGUUAAAUGUUAUUUGCUUUCUUUGAGUAAUUAGAGUUGAUAAUAGAGAUGGAUGAAGACCUCAUGAAGGGGAAAAGAGAGGUUUUUUAUUAGUGUGCUCGCGAAGAUACAGCAAUCUCCUGCCUACGUAUCCUUAUGGUGUAAUAAGGAAAUCAGAGCAAUCGUAGUUCGGGAAACUACGGUUUUGUUGGUGUCUUUUAAUGAACGACUGUGUAGAUCGCGUCCUAAAGGCUAAACGCUGGCUUGUCUACUCUCGGCGGAGGCUUAAGCGUUGGUUUGUUGUGCGCAUUAGAAAGGAUUAACAGUGUUCUUUUGAAAAUAAUUUUUUUUAAGUUGUUGGUCGCACGGGGGCGAAGAAUUAAAUUUGAUUUGUGAAAGUGUUUUGAAUUUAUUCGAUUGUGUUUUAAUUUGAUGACGAAGAUUCGAGCAAUGUGGCGUACGCCAAUUAUUCGAAUAAUCGAGAGAUAAUGAAGCGGAUGCUCACUAUUCUCCUUUUCAUUCAAAGAUUAAUUAUUAAAAUAAAGCUUUUAGAAUUCAUAAUUAA